rnacentral:rRNA from 1 species
CCUACGGGAGACAGCAGUGAGGAAUAUUGGUCAAUGGACGAGCGUCUGAACCAGCCAAGUAGCGUGAAGGAUGACUGCCCUAUGGGUUGUAAACUUCUUUUAUAUGGGAAUAAAAUGUUCCACGUGUGGGAUUUUGUAUGUACCAUAUGAAUAAGGAUCGGCUAACUCCGUGCCAGCAGCCGCGGUAAUACGGAGGAACCGAGCGUUAUCCGGUUUUAUUGGGUUUAAAGGGAGCGUGAGUGGAUUGUUAAGUUAGUUGUGAAAGUUUGCGGCUCAACCGUAAAAUUGCCGUUGAAACUGGCAGUCUUGAGUACAGUAGAGGUGGGCGGAAGUCGUGGUGUAGCGGUGAAAUGCUUAGAUAUCACGAAGAACUCCGAUUGCGAAGGCAGCUCACUGGACUGCAACUGACACUGAGGCUCGAAAGUGUGGGUAUCGAACAGGAUUAGAUACCCCAGUAGUC